UAUCGGCCACGUGCCCACGUCCUCCCAUCCCUCGCCCCUUUUCCCUCUGAUGAAACCUCCCACGCCGCAUCUUCUCUUCUCGCUUCCUCGCCGCCAUGCGCCAACCCCGCCAUCAGCCGUCAAGCCGGCUGCGUACUUCCACCCUCGUCGCCCUCCCUAGUCCAGUAACAUCACCCGCUCCCUUCAACUCCCGUAUAGGUCUUCGUGGCCCUCAGAUGUGGCAGCCCUCAGGCACGACGCUGCCGGAUCUGGUUGGCUUGGCCUCGUCGCCCCAACCAAUAGGUGCUCCACGCCUCUCCUCAGGACCGCAGCGGUAUUCUUCGUCGGCUCUCUAUCCCUCCACCUCAUGCGCCAUGUAUCGGCCUUCUGCCCUUUCUUGAAGCUCCUCCUCAUCCAAGUGGUCACCUAAUGUUGCCGAGUGGACCACGCUCACUCGCGCAUUCGCCCGCCAGUACCAGGAUUUGCUCGUGUGUUUCAAGUUGAAUACUGGGUAGAUGGAGGAGAUGUGCCACGGCAGGCUACUGUGGUGGUGAGAUUCAGGUCUAAGUUGGGCCUACCUGAAGAGCAAGAAUAUAAAGCUUUUGAGCUUAGGCACAUGACUCAAUCCCCCAGAAUCCAAUGGUCUACUGAGCCAGUUUUAUGCUAGGCGAGGAAGGGUGGAACAGUGAACCUUGCCACACAACGGCACCCCCUUCGCCUGAUGACCUUUUCCAAUCACGAUGACCUCCCGUCGCUGCUGAAGGAAUUGGAAACAGUACUGGAGGAAUUGUGAUAUAUGGCAAGGUGGGUGAUGUCUAUGGAAAUGAUUGUUGAGCGUUAUGAUACAUAUGGUGAUGCAGGGUGACGAGUCUAAUGUCUUUUGUCAAGACAUGCAACAAAGUGAAGUUAUGAAGUUCUGGUCAAUUUAGCUUAUGCAUAAUGCUUGGACCAUAGAUCUUAGUUACUAUUUUGUUUUGCAUUUCAAACUUCCUAGAUAGAUCACGGCGAUCAAUGUAAUUUUGAUGCGACUCUUCUGAUAUUAUGAAUGGUGUGCUAAAUAUAAUAGUUUAUGCUUCUUGGUCA